CAGCCGCCACGGUAAUACGGAGGGUGCAAGCGUUACUCGGAAUCACUGGGCGUAAGGGACGCGUAGGCGGAUUAUCAAGUCUCUUGUGAAAUCUAACGGCUUAACCGUUAAACUGCUUGGGAAACUGAUAAUCUAGAGUAAGGGAGAGGCAGAUGGAAUUCUCGGUGUAGGGGUAAAAUCCGUAGAUAUCAAGAAGAAUACCUAUUGCGAAGGCGAUCUGCUGGAACUUAACUGACGCUAAUGCGUGAAAGCGUGGGGAGCAAACAGGAUUAGAUACCCGAGUAGUCCCUGUCUCUUAUAC
rnacentral:rRNA from 1 species